rnacentral:piRNA from 1 species
GCAGAAAUAUUUGCCGGAACCUAGAAGGCCU